rfam:Melissococcus plutonius ATCC 35311 plasmid pMP1 DNA, complete genome.
UAAGAGUAUAAAAAAGAGAGAUAUGCUGAAACAUAUCCCUCAAUUGUAGAACCGUUUAAGACGGUGGCAAAAAUUUAAAGAUUAUUAAAAA